UACAGAGGGUGCGAGCGUUGUCCGGAAUCACUGGGCGUAAAGGGCGCGUAGGUGGCGGCCCAAGUCCAUGGUGAAAGCUCGAUGCUCAACAUCGAGUCGGCCACGGAUACUGGGUUGCUCGAGCACUGUAGGGGCAGAUGGAAUUCCGGGUGUAGCGGUGGAAUGCGUAGAGAUCCGGAAGAGACCGGUGGCGAAGGCGGUCUGGCUGG
rnacentral:rRNA from 1 species